GACGAACGCUGGCGGCGUGCUUAACACAUGCAAGUCGAACGGUAAGGCCCUUCGGGGUACACGAGUGGCGAACGGGUGAGUAACACGUGGGUGAUCUGCCCUGCACUUCGGGAUAAGCCUGGGAAACUGGGUCUAAUACCGGAUAGGACCCUGGGAUGCAUGUCCUGGGGUGGAAAGCUUUUGCGGUGUGGGAUGGGCCCGCGGCCUAUCCGCUUGUUGGUGGGGUGAUGGCCUACCAAGGCGACGACGGGUAGCCGGCCUGAGAGGGUGACCGGCCACACAGGGACUGAGAUACGGCCCAGACUCCUACGGGAGGCAGCAGUGGGGAAUAUUGCACAAUGGGCGCAAGCCUGAUGCAGCGACGCCGCGUGAGGGAUGACGGCCUUCGGGUUGUAAACCUCUUUCAGCACCGACGAAGCGCAAGUGACGGUAGGUGCAGAAGAAGGACCGGCCAACUACGUGCCAGCCGCCGCUGUAA
rnacentral:rRNA from 1 species